ACCAAGCAUUGGCAUGCACCUGUAGUCCCAGCUGCUCCGGAGGCUGAGGCAGGAGGAUCGCUUGAGCCCAGGAGUUCUAAGCUCUAGUGUGCUAGGCUGAUCAGGUGUCUGCACUAAGCUUUGGCAUCAAUAUGGUGACCUCCUGGCGCAGGGAACCACCAGGUUGCCUAAGGGGUGGUGAACUGGCUCAGGUCAGAACCCCCUGUGCUGAUAAAUAGUGGGACUGCGCAUUACAAUACAGUAUGAACAGCUGCUGCACUCCGGCCAGGACGACAUAACAAGACUCCAUCUCU
rnacentral:SRP_RNA from 1 species